rnacentral:rRNA from 1 species
GAAGUCGACUUCCGCAAGGACACUCGUAGAGGUGCUGCAUGGGCUGUCGUCAGCUCGUGUCGUGAGAUGUUGGGUUAAGUCCCGCAACGAGCGCAACCCUUGUCUGCUGUUGCCAUCACGUUAUGGUGGGCACUCUGCAGAGACUGCCGGUGAUAAACCGGAGGAAGGUGGGGAUGACGUCAAGUCAGCAUGGCCUUUAUGUCUGGGGCUACACACGUGCUACAAUGGCCGAUACAAACCGUCGCGAUACCGCAAGGUGGAGCUAAUCGGAGAAAGUCGGUCUCAGUUCGGAUUGUAGGCUGCAACUCGCCUGCAUGAAGUUGGAAUCGCUAGUAAUCGCGGAUCAGCACGCCGCGGUGAAUACGUUCCCGGGCCUUGUACACACCGCCCGUCACAUCACGAAAGCCGGUUGUACUAGAAGUCGCCACACCAACCCGCAAGGGAGGGAGGCGCCUAAGGUAUGGUCGGUGAUUGGGGUGAAGUCGUAACAAGGUAGCCGU